rnacentral:rRNA from 1 species
AUUGCUCCUUGUGAUGCAGUGGAACCGUGGCAACCACAAGACUUGCCCUCACAAUACAACAACCAUCUUCUUUAUAGAAUGAUUUGUCCCAUAAGUUUUCUAACCUUGUGUCAGGACCUAUGGGCCAAGGGACAAUCUCAAGUAGAUAGUUUCUAUGAGGCAUAGGCCUCCCAAAUGGUAACGGAGGCGUGCAAAGGUUUUCUCGGGUCGGACAGAGAUCGACCCUUGAGUGCAAAGGCAGAAAUAUUUUUUAUAAGGAUUUAAUUCAAAUUAGCAACGGAAACCCAUUGGUAAUCAUCAACGGACA